GUAGUGGUGGUCCAGUGGUAGAAUUCUCACCUUCCAUGUGAGAGACCUGGGUUUGAUUCCUGGCCAAAACA
rnacentral:tRNA from 1 species